CCUACGGGUGGCUGCAGUGGGGAAUAUUGGACAAUGGGCGAAAGCCUGAUCCAGCCAUGCAGCGUGUGUGAAGAAGGCCUUCGGGUUGUAAAGCACUUUCAGUGGGGAAGAAAGCCUUGGGGCUAAUACCCUCGAGGAAGGACAUCACCCACAGAAGAAGCACCGGCUAACUCCGUGCCAGCAGCCGCGGUAAUACGGAGGGUGCGAGCGUUAAUCGGAAUUACUGGGCGUAAAGCGCGCGUAGGCGGUCUGAUAAGCCGGUUGUGAAAGCCCCGGGCUCAACCUGGGAACGGCAUCCGGAACUGUCAGGCUAGAGUGCAGGAGAGGAAGGUAGAAUUCCCGGUGUAGCGGUGAAAUGCGUAGAGAUCGGGAGGAACACCAGUGGCGAAGGCGGCCUUCUGGACUGACACUGACGCUGAGGUGCGAAAGCGUGGGUAGCAAACAGGAUUAGAUACCCCAGUAGUC
rnacentral:rRNA from 1 species